rnacentral:misc_RNA from 1 species
AAAGUCGUAACAAGGUAUCCGUAGGUGAACCUGCGGAUGGAUCAUUAGAAGGACCGGCUUAACCAGAGGGGUUGCAGUCCCCCUGGGUCGGUUAUCUCUUCAUACCUGUGUGGUGUAGAUAGCUGUGUCUUGUGUUUGUUGGACUUUGUGGUGGGCGAUAACAAGCCUGCGCUGGUCCGAUGGCCUCAUACAAACCUUUACUUUAUAUUAUCAAUAUUACCGACUGAUGUUGCCUUGCGGGCGAAAGCCAUCAAGUAAAACAAUUGUAAUCAAAUACAACUGCUAGCAACGGAUCACUCGGCUCUC